GAAACAUGUGUAGGAAGGAAAAAGAACCUAUUAUAUUUUCAAAGUUUCGUCUAAAUUAAAGGUCGUUCUCGUGAGAAUAGCUGAAAUUAUUUUUUAUAAGUAUUUAUAAUAAUAUUUUUAGUGAUAUAUAAUAUUAACAUAUAUUUUAUUUAUUUCUUCGCAUUUCUUUCUUAUCGAUGCACAAGCCGAGUCAUUAUUCUAUAACAUAUACAUACAAUGUACAGUUGUUCGUAUCAGUUUGAUUUGUAGUUUCAAACGGAGCGUAUCUCGACUGGUGAAUACCCGAUAGGAACGAACACGAAAUAAUAAUGAACGUAACUUAAUACACAUUUUAAUUGAAAACAAUAUAUUUACGCUCAAUUGAUUUAUUCAACAGAAAGUGACAAGUGAAAAGAAAAAUUUUUGAUAUCUACUAAUUUACCGAGAUAUUAUUUAAGCAUUAAAUGAACACCCUGUGCCAUAAAAGUACUUUUUUAUAAAGGUCAUGACAAAUAUGUUAGAAAUCAUGACAGUUAUAAAUAUUGAAACUGUAAACAUCGAAACAAAACAUAAAGUGAUUUAAGUUUAAAUUUGGAUCGAUCGGCACCAACGGUUGGUUAAGAUGGGAAUCUUGUUUAGAUUUUUAUCAAGAUUUGACAGGAAGAAAACAACAAUUGAAAUUUUGGAGGAUCUUGAUGUGAAAAUUAAAGAGAUAGAAAGAUAUGGAUAUAGUACAGAACAAAGACAUAAAAAAAUUGUUGGAACUCUGAUAUUAUAUAGCGUGAUACUUUAUAUUAUAACGGCAUUCAUUUUUUACUUCUAUUUCUUCCCUGCAUCACUGUAUGAUCAAAUAUUUUAUAUCAUCCCACUGUUAAUUUUUCCCAUUCUCAUAUUGCUUACAAAAAAGAUGGUAACGUGGUAUUAUAAAUGUAAAAUUUCUAAAAAUCAAGAUAGAUUAAGUAGUAUGCAAUCUGAAAAAAAGAAAAUUUUAGAUCAAGUUGCAGAGAUUGAAACAUAUAAAAAAGCUAAAGAAAUUCUGUUAAAAUUUGCACCUGAUCAAUUAAAACCGACUCCACCUGCAAUAGAAAUUCCUCAACAAUCUAGUACACCACAAUGUAUAAAAUCUGCUAUAUCUCCUUUUGGGGAACUGAGGAAGCGUGUAAUAUUAAGUCAAAAUCAAGCACUAAAUGCGCAAAGCUGUGUACCUUCUAACAGUUACCCUGUCCCAGUUGGCAUAACUCCUGUUCGCAAUUUACCAAAUGCUCCUGUUCAGAAUAAUGAUAAACUACUCAAUACUCCAAAUUGGAAUCAUAGGUCUCCUUUAUUAUGUUCAUCAAUUUUACCACGUCCAAUAUUAUCACCGCAAAGGACUAAUUUGGAUCGAAUAAUUGAUUAUCUCGUUGGGGAUGGUCCAUCUAAUCGAUAUGCAUUAAUUUGUCGAGGUUGUGAGUCGCACAAUGGAAUGGCUCUUAAAGAGGAAUUUGAAUAUUUUGGAUUUAAAUGUUGUUACUGCAACUUUUGGAAUCCUGCAAGGAAGCAGAAGCUAUCUGCUCCAAAACUAAAAUCCAAUAUUACACUUAGUAAUCCAUCUUUAAACAAUUCUGAACAUUUAUCAACUAACAUUAGUACAGAACUUUUGGAAGAUGGACAAGCCGAAUCAAAGGGUACAUCUGAUUCAGGUUUGAAAGGAAAAUAAUACGUGAUCUUAUGGAUUUAGAUAUGAAAGCAGUUGAAAGAUCUACAGAAACAUUGAAAGAAAUUGAAUCUAUUACUGAAUCAGAAGAAAGUACAUGUGACUAACUAGAUACUACGAGAUCGGAACGAAAAGAAGUACAUAAUCGUGAAGAAAGCAUA